rnacentral:ncRNA from 1 species
CUGUCCGAGGGGCGCUGCAGCAGGUUCUCCUGUCAGGCUCGGAUGGGGCGUUGUCCGCGCAUGCGGACGCCAAGGCGCUGCCUGAACGGUCUUGAGCGAAGGCCAGGCAGCGCCGAACGCACAACGGCGCCCAUUCGAC